GUUAUUUGAAAUGUUGCCAAAGUAAAAUAAUUUCCAUUUAAAUUAUUUCCGCAAUGUGAAUUAAUCGUUUGAUAAGGGGCAUAACUAAAAAAACAUAAAUAUAAUGGGCGAAAUGGUGAAAAAAAUAAAGAUUGGGGGAAUUUUAAAUAGAAGAAAAAAGGAAGGAUAAGGAAAAAAGAAAGUGUGGGAAAAAAUGAAUAAGAAAGAAAAAAAAAAGUGGAGAAA
rnacentral:lncRNA from 1 species